rnacentral:rRNA from 1 species
CAGUCGCCGCGGGAAUACCAGCAGCCCAAGUGGUGGUCGCGUUUAUUGGGCCUAAAGCGCUCGUAGCCUGGCCGGUAAGUUCCCCGUGAAACCAGGUCGCCCAACGAUUCGGCUCGCGGGGAAUACUGUCGGUCUUGGGGCCGGGAGACGCCGAGGGUACUCCGGGGGUAGCGGUGAAAUGCUGUAAUCCUCGGGGGACUACCAGUGGCGAAGGCGCUCGGCGAUAACGGGCCUGACGGUGAGGGGCGAAAGCUGGGGGCGCGAACGGGAUUAGAUACCCCUGUAGUCCCUGUCUCUUAUA